AUGACUCAGCGUCUCUCCAUAUUCUGAUAAUAUUUAUCUCUAUGCCCCACUUGUGGGUGAUAGGUCAGUGUGCAACUGCAAGCCUCCACAGCCUUCCUGGCAGCCCAAAACGAAAAGGGGAAAGAAUCCUACUGCAUCUGUGUAAAUGAGCGGCAAACCUUGUCUUGGGCAAUAACUCCUAAAACUCUGGGGAAUAUGAACUUCUCGGUGAGUGCCCAGGCAGUGAAGUCCCAAGAGCUUUGUGGAAAUAAGGUUGCUGAGGUCCCUGAGAUUGGGAGGAAAGACACAGUCAUCAAAACCCUAUUGGUGGAACCUGAAGGUAUUGAGCAAGAAAAGACUUUCAAUUCUAUGGCCUGUACUUCAGGUAAGAGUCAAUCUUCAUAAUCA